rnacentral:rRNA from 1 species
ACGGGAGGCAGCAGUGGGGAAUAUUGGGCAAUGGGUGAAAGCCUGACCCAGCAACGCCGCGUGAAGGAAGAAGGUCUUCGGAUUGUAAACUUCUUUUAUGUGGGACGAACAAAUGACGGUACCACAUGAAUAAGCCACGGCUAACUACGUGCCAGCAGCCGCGGUAAUACGUAGGUGGCAAGCGUUAUCCGGAUUUACUGGGUGUAAAGGGCGUGUAGGCGGCUCUGCAAGUCAGAAGUGAAAUUCCCGGGCUCAACCUGGGCGCUGCUUCUGAAACUGCAGAACUUGAGUACUGGAGGGGAAAGCGGAAUUCCUAGUGUAGCGGUAAAAUGCGCAGAUAUUAGGAGGAACACCGGUGGCGAAGGCGGCUUUCUGGACAGUAACUGACGCUGAGGCGCGAAAGCGUGGGGAGCAAACAGGAUUAGAUACCCUGGUA